AUAACUGAGAUUUUGAUUUAUUGAUUAAACCCUUUUGUUUGAUGAUGUUCUUGUGUGUAAUAUAAUUAUAAGUGUACCCGUCAAAUUUCAGGAGAAAACGAGUUAAAACGGAGAAGUUACGCGACCCGGAAGUCUGACUUAAGUGAAUAGUAACUCNGUGGUAGCUUCUAUAAAAGAUAAAAGUUUUCGCGUACGAAACAGUUUUCAAAAGAUUUUUCGUGGACUUCUGUUUAAACAUCAAAUGUAAAUUUACGGUGUGAAUGGUGAAUGUAUGAAUGUAUAGCUAUCUGUAUAUUCAUUUGAUUGUGGUUGUAUACUGUUUGUACUUUUGUACUUGUGUGACGCCGUGCAAGUACAGGGGAGACUCUGUCCGUGUGAACAGUGGAUUCCCUGUAUUUGUGGCGGAUCUGGCAUACUCUGGGGUCAGGUUUUCAAAAAAAAAAAUUCAAACGCUUUUCCGCUGUGUUUCAAACAAA
rnacentral:lncRNA from 1 species